rnacentral:rRNA from 1 species
UGGGGAAUAUUGCACAAUGGGCGCAAGCCUGAUGCAGCCAUGCCGCGUGUGUGAAGAAGGCCUUCGGGUUGUAAAGCACUUUCGGCGAGGAGGAAGGGUAGUGUGUUAAUAGCACAUUGCAUUGACGUUACUCGCAGAAGAAGCACCGGCUAACUCCGUGCCAGCAGCCGCGGUAAUACGGAGGGUGCAAGCGUUAAUCGGAAUUACUGGGCGUAAAGCGCACGCAGGCGGUUUGUUAAGUCAGAUGUGAAAUCCCCGCGCUUAACGUGGGAACUGCAUUUGAAACUGGCAAGCUAGAGUCUUGUAGAGGGGGGUAGAAUUCCAGGUGUAGCGGUGAAAUGCGUAGAGAUCUGGAGGAAUACCGGUGGCGAAGGCGGCCCCCUGGACAAAGACUGACGCUCAGGUGCGAAAGCGUGGGGAGCAAACA